CGUAGGCGUAGCGAAAGCGAGUCUGAAUAGGGCGGAUAGCUAGUGGGGGUAGACGCGAAACCUGGUGAUCUACCCAUGGGCAGGUUGAAGUAUCGAUAGUCUCGAUAUGGAGGACCGAACCGGUAAACGUUGAAAAGUUUUCGGAUGACCUGUGGGUAGGGGUGAAAGGCCAAUCAAACUCCGUGAUAGCUGGUUCUCCCCGAAAUGCAUUUAGGUGCAGCGUCGCGUGUUUCUUGCCGGAGGUAGAGCUACUGGAUGGCCGAUGGGCCCUACAAGGUUACUGACGACAGCCAAACUCCGAAUGCC
rnacentral:rRNA from 1 species